CCGGGGGCGGGUGCUAUACAUGCAAGUCGAACGAACUCUGGUAUUGAUUGGUGCUUGCAUCAUGAUUUACAUUUGAGUGAGUGGCGAACUGGUGAGUAACACGUGGGAAACCUGCCCAGAAGCGGGGGAUAACACCUGGAAACAGAUGCUAAUACCGCAUAACAACUUGGACCGCAUGGUCCGAGUUUGAAAGAUGGCUUCGGCUAUCACUUUUGGAUGGUCCCGCGGCGUAUUAGCUAGAUGGUGGGGUAACGGCUCACCAUGGCAAUGAUACGUAGCCGACCUGAGAGGGUAAUCGGCCACAUUGGGACUGAGACACGGCCCAAACUCCUACGGGAGGCAGCAGUAGGGAAUCUUCCACAAUGGACGAAAGUCUGAUGGAGCAACGCCGCGUGAGUGAAGAAGGGUUUCGGCUCGUAAAACUCUGUUGUUAAAGAAGAACAUAUCUGAGAGUAACUGUUCAGGUAUUGACGGUAUUUAACCAGAAAGCCACGGCUAACUACGUGCCAGCAGCCGCGGUAAUACGUAGGUGGCAAGCGUUGUCCGGAUUUAUUGGGCGUAAAGCGAGCGCAGGCGGUUUUUUAAGUCUGAUGUGAAAGCCUUCGGCUCAACCGAAGAAGUGCAUCGGAAACUGGGAAACUUGAGUGCAGAAGAGGACAGUGGAACUCCAUGUGUAGCGGUGAAAUGCGUAGAUAUAUGGAAGAACACCAGUGGCGAAGGCGGCUGUCUGGUCUGUAACUGACGCUGAGGCUCGAAAGUAUGGGUAGCAAACAGGAUUAGAUACCCUGGUAGUCCAUACCGUAAACGAUGAAUGCUAAGUGUUGGAGGGUUUCCGCCCUUCAGUGCUGCAGCUAACGCAUUAAGCAUUCCGCCUGGGGAGUACGGCCGCAAGGCUGAAACUCAAAGGAAUUGACGGGGGCCCGCACAAGCGGUGGAGCAUGUGGUUUAAUUCGAAGCUACGCGAAGAACCUUACCAGGUCUUGACAUACUAUGCAAAUCUAAGAGAUUAGACGUUCCCUUCGGGGACAUGGAUACAGGUGGUGCAUGGUUGUCGUCAGCUCGUGUCGUGAGAUGUUGGGUUAAGUCCCGCAACGAGCGCAACCCUUAUUAUCAGUUGCCAGCAUUAAGUUGGGCACUCUGGUGAGACUGCCGGUGACAAACCGGAGGAAGGUGGGGAUGACGUCAAAUCAUCAUGCCCCUUAUGACCUGGGCUACACACGUGCUACAAUGGAUGGUACAACGAGUUGCGAACUCGCGAGAGUAAGCUAAUCUCUUAAAGCCAUUCUCAGUUCGGAUUGUAGGCUGCAACUCGCCUACAUGAAGUCGGAAUCGCUAGUAAUCGCGGAUCAGCAUGCCGCGGUGAAUACGUUCCCGGGCCUUGUACACACCGCCCGUCACACCAUGAGAGUUUGUAACACCCAAAGUCGGUGGGGUAACCUUUUAGGAACCAGCCGCCUAAGGUGGACCAAGAAUUG
rnacentral:rRNA from 1 species